rnacentral:rRNA from 1 species
AUUGAACGCUGGCGGCAUGCUUUACACAUGCAAGUCGAACGGCAGCGCGGGCUUCGGCCUGGCGGCGAGUGGCGAACGGGUGAGUAAUGCAUCGGAACGUGCCCAGUAGUGGGGGAUAGCCCGGCGAAAGCCGGAUUAAUACCGCAUACGACCUGAGGGUGAAAGCGGGGGACCGAAAGGCCUCGCGCUAUUGGAGCGGCCGAUGUCGGAUUAGCUAGUUGGUGGGGUAAAGGCUUACCAAGGCGACGAUCCGUAGCUGGUCUGAGAGGACGACCAGCCACACUGGGACUGAGACACGGCCCAGACUCCUACGGGAGGCAGCAGUGGGGAAUUUUGGACAAAGGGGGCAACCCUGAUCCAGCCAUGCCGCGUGCGGGAAGAAGGCCUUCGGGUUGUAAACCGCUUUUGUUCGGGAAGAAAUCCUCUGGGCUAAUACCCCGGGGGGAUGAUGGUACCGGAAGAAUAAGCACCGGCUAACUACGUG